CCCACGUGGAGUGUGUAGCUUAGUCGUUGGGGAGCCUAAAACUUCGUAAAUAAUGUAUAAUGCUCCAAAAAGAAAGAAGAGAGGCCCAUAUAAAGAGUACAUUAACCAUGAAUCAGACUUCAUGCUACCGAGAAGUACUUCGAGGGCUCACCAACGCAGUGAUCUGUCAACAGAUGCAUCCUUAGCUGAUGACGAUCCACCUGUUAACGACACAGCAGCCGGACCAAGCCAAGCAGCAGAUAGAACCCGAUUCUCGACAGAAAGAAACUGCGAGUUUGGAGCUGAUGCAUCGGGUAGUGGUGAUGAACAGCUGUUCAUGCCUGAUGACGAUGCUUCACAGGAAUGUGUUCCUGGAGA